AAUAUCAAGCAUGCUUAUAACAUCACGAGAAUCGACUGGCAAGGAGAUCCAUGCAUGCCAAGAGAUUAUAGAUGGGAAGGUCUGAAUUGCAACUCUGACAACAUUCCAAGAGUGACUUCGUUGAACUUGAGCUCAUGCAACCUGAUGGGAGAGAUAAAUUCUUCAUUUUCCAAACUCAUGGAGUUGGAGUCCUUUACCUUGUCAGGGAACAAUCUCACUGGUUCAAUUCCCAAGGCUUUAAGGGAGAAGAAUGGCACUACUUUGAUGUUAAGGUU